UCCCCAGACUGUUCAGAGACUUCAAGGG
rnacentral:piRNA from 1 species